rnacentral:rRNA from 1 species
GUGAGUAACCUGCCCUUAACUCUGGGAUAAGCCUGGGAAACUGGGUCUAAUACCGGAUAUGACUCCUCAUCGCAUGGUGGGGGGUGGAAAGCUUUAUUGUGGUUUUGGAUGGACUCGCGGCCUAUCAGCUUGUUGGUGAGGUAAUGGCUUACCAAGGCGACGACGGGUAGCCGGCCUGAGAGGGUGACCGGCCACACUGGGACUGAGACACGGCCCAGACUCCUACGGGAGGCAGCAGUGGGGAAUAUUGCACAAUGGGCGCAAGCCUGAUGCAGCGACGCCGCGUGAGGGAUGACGGCCUUCGGGUUGUAAACCUCUUUCAGUAGGGAAGAAGCGAAAGUGACGGUACCUGCAGAAGAAGCGCCGGCUAACUACGUGCCAGCAGCCCGCGGUAAUACGUAGGGCGCAAGCGUUUAUC